rnacentral:rRNA from 1 species
UGUUUCGGCUAGGGGGUCAUCCCGACUUACCAACCCGAUGCAAACUACGAAUACCGAAGAAUGUUAUCACGGGAGACACACGGCGGGUGCUAACGUCCGUCGUGAAGAGGGAAACAACCCAGACCGCCAGCUAAGGUCCCAAAGUCAUGGUUAAGUGGGAAACGAUGUGGGAAGGCACAGACAGCCAGGAUGUUGGCUUAGAAGCAGCCAUCAUUUAAAGAAAGCGUAAUAGCUCACUGGUCGAGUCGGCCUGCGCGGAAGAUGUAACGGGGCUAAACCAUGCACCGAAGCUGCGGCAGCGACACUAUGUGUUGUUGGGUAGGGGAGCGUUCUGUAAGCCUGCGAAGGUGACCUGUGAGGGUUGCUGGAGGU